GAAUUAUAUAAUCAUUUUCUAUUAUUUGCAUAUGAACACAUUUUCUAUAAUUUUUUCUUGUUUUUCAUAGAAAAUGAUAACUGGAGUUUCCUUAGAAAAUAGAAAACAGAAAACGGAAAAUGAAAAACAUAAAACUUUUCUGCGAGUAGGCCCUUAGGGUUUUAGUUUCAAAAUCGGCCCAUUUGUUUAUCAGGUUAGUGUUCCAUGUGCACAAAUGUCAUUGCAUCUUUUCCUUAUAAUUCUCAAAGGCAUCUAUCAUUAAUAUUCUUCUUUUUAUUGUUUU
rnacentral:misc_RNA from 1 species